CCUACGGGAGGCAGCAGUGGGGGAUAUUGCACAAUGGGGGGAACCCUGAUGCAGCGACGCCGCGUGGGUGAAGAAGCGCCUCGGCGCGUAAAGCCCUGUCAGCAGGGAAGAAAAUGACGGUACCUGCAGAAGAAGCCCCGGCUAACUACGUGCCAGCAGCCGCGGUAAUACGUAGGGGGCAAGCGUUAUCCGGAUUUACUGGGUGUAAAGGGGGCGCAGACGGCGAUGCAAGCCAGGAGUGAAAGCCCGGGGCCCAACCCCGGGACUGCUCUUGGCACUGCGUGGCUGGAGUGCAGGAGGGGCAGGCGGAAGUCCUGGUGUAGCGGGGAGAUGCGUAGAUAUCAGGAGGAACACCGGUGGCGAAGGCGGCCUGCUGGACUGCAACUGACGUUGAGGCCCGAAAGCGUGGGGAGCAAACAGGAUUAGAUACCCGGGUAGUC
rnacentral:rRNA from 1 species